rnacentral:rRNA from 1 species
UAAGAUCAAAAUGCAACCGAGCCGUCAUAAGCCCAUGAUGCACCUAAGAUCUCCCUUAAAACGAUCUCAGCACCCUUGAUUUACUGCAUCCACGAAAGCUAAGAUCCAAACUGGGAUUAGAUACCCCACUAUGCUUAGCCCUAAAUCUCGAUGCUUACCCCACCAAAGCAUCCGCCCGAGAACUACGAGCACAAACGCUUAAAACUCUAAGGACUUGGCGGUGCCCCAAACCCACCUAGAGGAGCCUGUUCUAUAAUCGAUAACCCACGAUACACCCGGCCACUCCUUGCCCAGGCAGCCUACAUACCGCCGUCGCCAGCCCACCUCCUUUGAAAGUAAAACAGUGAGCACAACAGUAAUUCACUAAUAAGACAGGUCGAGGUAUAGCCCAUGGAGUGGAAGAAAUGGGCUACAUUUUCUAGCAUAGAAAAACGGAAGGGGGUGUGAAACCACCCCCAGAAGGCGGAUUUAGCAGUAAAGCGGAACAAUAAAGUCCACUUUAAGUCGGCCCUGAGGCACGUACAUACCGCCCGUCACCCUCC